AAAAAAAAAAAAAAAGAAAAGAAGUGAUUACAAAAAGAAGUAAACUUUUGCUUUUCAUAAAAGGUAAAUUUUUUACUUUUCAAAUAUUGUCUUUUGUUAUCUAACCAAAGAUUUCUUUUUUAUUUUUGCUUCCAAAAUAGCAUUAAAAAAAAAAAAGACGGAACAAGGUAGCUAAAUGAAACCUAGUUUGGACAUUACUUCUGACAAAGAAUAUAAAGGACAUUACUACUGAUUCUAUUACACUUCAGCAGAUUUGAGUUGCUAGCGUAUCUGGAUGCAUCCUCUGUUGCAGCCCAUGAAUUUCGAAUUCCUCCUAAAGCUCUUUUGGGAUUGCAUUCGUACUUCCCUGUCCAUUUUGAUAUAUGUCAUGCUGUGCUAGUUGAAGCAAGUGUCCAUGUCAGCCUAUUGAAAGCCGGUUCUCACAAACAGAUAUCUGGGUUUGUCAGAUUUCUACUAUCUAAAUAUAUAGACUGCUUUUAAUCAUGUCAGAUGUGGUUUGUUUAAUUAACUUGCUGCAUUGUAUCAUUGCAGUGGUCCCUGCCACAUUGUAGAUGUUGCUGAUGAAAGUGCCGAUAGGUCCAAUGAUGUAUACUUAGACAAUCUUUUCUAUGUGGUUAUUUUGACAUUUUUAUAUUUUAUUUUUGCCUUUUUCGUUGACUGCAUUUUGUUUCUUGUGAAUCUGCAUACUGAUGAGAAUAUAUAGUUGCAGCUAAUAUCAAUGUUCUUAUGUGUCCAUUGCAUUUAUUUUUGUGUAAGCAUGCAAAUUUGCGUGAACUUUCGUGUAAAAUCUUGCACUGAACUAGCUUGAGUUUGGCCUAUUUUCAUUGGCACUAAUGUAUGUAUGCAUAAUCAAUAUUUUGAUUGCAGUAGCUUCUGUUUUGAGCUUCCAAUCAAGUUCAUGUCAUUCUCUUAGUUUCAAGAUUGCAGUUUUUCAAAUAUAAUGGGAAUGCUUAUGAUAUUAUGAUAUUUGAGUAUCUGUUGGUUUUGUCUUUUUAUUCCAAAGGUCCAUAAUAUGAGUGCCAAAUGAAAGGCUAAAGACCACUAGACCUAGAAAUUGUAUGUGCCAAUGAACACAUGAUCAAGAUCAACUGACAUCUGACUUGUCAGAAUAUAACACAGUUCUUUAUGAAGUCCAACUCCUGUGGACAAUAAUUGACUAAAAAUUUUUCUACGUCAUCUAACAAGUAUGGAGGGGAUUGUUAUUCAUGUUUAUUUAGUUUUGUGACCAUGAGUUACUUAAAAGAUAUUCCCUAUGUAUUGAAAUUAAAAUUUUGUG
rnacentral:misc_RNA from 1 species